GGAGAGAUGGCCGAGUGGUUGAUAGCUCCGGUCUUGAAAACCGGUAUAGUUAUGAGAACUAUCGAGGGUUCGAAUCCCUCUCUCUCCU
rnacentral:tRNA from 1 species